AACACUCUGCACUCAAUGUCC
rnacentral:snRNA from 1 species